GAUGAACGCUGGCGGCGUGCCUAAUACAUGCAAGUCGAGCGAACAGACGAGGAGCUUGCUCCUCUGACGUUAGCGGCGGACGGGUGAGUAACACGUGGAUAACCUACCUAUAAGACUGGGAUAACUUCGGGAAACCGGAGCUAAUACCGGAUAAUAUAUUGAACCGCAUGGUUCAAUAGUGAAAGACGGUUUUGCUGUCACUUAUAGAUGGAUCCGCGCCGCAUUAGCUAGUUGGUAAGGUAACGGCUUACCAAGGCAACGAUGCGUAGCCGACCUGAGAGGGGGAUCGGCCACACUGGAACUGAGACACGGUCCAGACUCCUGCGGGAGGCAGCAGUAGGGAAUCUUCCGCAAUGGUCGAAAGCCUGACGGAGCAACGCCGCGUGAGUGAUGAAGGUCUUCGGAUCGUAAAACUCUGUUAUUAGGGAAGAACAAAUGUGUAAGUAACUAUGCACGUCUUGACGGUACCUAAUCAGAAAGCCACGGCUAACUACGUG
rnacentral:rRNA from 1 species